ACGUCAUGCGUUCCUUGGGAAAUGAGGGGGAAUGUCUCUGAGCUCUGUGGAUGAUCGGUCUCCCUAAACAGAGGCCAUAGACAGGAUCCUAACCCCUCUGGGUCUCCCUAGGCCAGCCCGUCACGGAGUUUUUAUACUGACUGCCUCUAGACAGUGUAUCACAUUAUCCAGGCCAGGUUUCUGAUUCCAGAGCACACUGCAGCCAGCCAGCAUAGCUGCACUCCACAGUAGACUUGGAGAAUGUUAUCGGUUUAUCAGAAACAGGCUCUGUCUCUUAAUGAGUCAGAUAAGGCGGGCCUGGUGGUGCACUUCUACAGUCCCAGCACUCGGGAGAUCCAGGCAGGAGAUUGUGAGCUCCAGGCCAACCUCGAUUACAUAGUAAGGCCCUGGCUAAAAAACAAAGGGGGAUGGUGGUAGGAUGUUUGAGCUGGUAGGGAUGUCUGCUGCCAAGACUCACACAUAACCUGAGGUCCGUCCCUGAACCCUUCAUGGUGGAGGGAGAGAACCAACUCCUUCAAAUUGUCCUCUGACCACUACACCUAUUUCUACACAUGUACAUACAAAGUAAAUAAAAACAAGAGAGUGAAAUACUAGAGUUUAAACAAACAGAACUCCCAUCUCCUGUCUGGACAGGUAUCUGUAAUUUGUUUCAUCUGUGGAGAGUCCCUUGUUUUUCUUGCUAAUCUAAGUUGAUAGAUAUGUUCUUUUUAUUUUUCUUCUUUAGAUAAGCUUUUGUGUCUAUGGACUUUUUUUUUUUUUUUUUUUGAAUGUAUAACAUUGCUAGAAUUCCAGAUGAGACCGUACAGUGCCUCUCUGUCCCCAUGAGUAGAAAGGGACAGAGCCUCUGCUGCAGGCUUAUGGAAGAAACUCAAAUACUCUGUGUGGGGCUGUUUGCAGGAAGCAACACGGUGGCUGUGUCGCCCGCCAUGAUUUUAUAAUGCACAGUUCUUCAGGUUUCCAAGUUCACACCCGGAUUCUCAUGGGGACCCUGGAGAACCAUGAGCAACGAACACACUGAUACGAGUCUACACUCAGGGCUGGUGUGCUCCUAUGCCUUUGUCUUAGAGAGCAGCUGAGCCAUCCAUCUUGUUGCUGUCAGAGAUGGUUGGGUUGGCAGUGCAGGCCUCUGGCACAUCCUGAGUCUCCCCUGAGGUGAUUCUCUUGUGUGGUGUACGGAUGCGUGCCGGCUACAGUUGAUUGUUUGCAGCACUCUGGAUAGGUGAGUGAGUCAUGGUGUUCACAUGGGGAUGGCUGAGGCCCAGAGGGUCCGGUGGCAGGAUUUGGAGUUCGGGUGCCUGAGGCUUGCCCCUAGUGCCUGUCAUUUUCUUAUUGCCAAGACAGAAGCAGCAUUAGGGAAGACAGGUUUAUUCUGGCGCACAGUUUAAUCAGAGGGUGUGGUCUGCCAUGAUGGAGCAGAUGUGGUGGCGUGGGUCUGGUCUGUGGUGGUAAGAGCUUGCAGCUUGGAUUGCUGACACCUUGAUAGAUCAGGGAGCAUGGUCUAGGCAGAAGCAGGGGCAGGCUGUAGUCCUCAAAGGCCUACCCUGUAGUGCUCUAUCUCUACCAGCCAGGCCUAUAGCUCCCCAAACCGCACCUUCAACUAAAGAGAGGAGCAGGUGUCCAGAUGCAGGCAGCCUAUGGGACAUUUCAGACCCAAGCGGGAUCUCUGCUUCUGUCUGUGCUCUGCCCCACAGAUCACCAAGAGGAACAUCGUAUGCAUCUGAUAGACAAAGCCAUGAGAUUAGCAUUGUUCUCAUUUCAUGAGAAAAUUCAGAUCCGAUUCCUUAAAAGUUCUUGUUUGUCUCAAGAAAAGGGAUGGGCAGAAAAUGGGGUUAUGCUUCUUUUUAGAAUCAAGGUGGCUUUGUAUGUGAUACCUUAAACCAUUCUGGAUAUUUCUUUCAUUUUUUAAAAAGAUUUUAAAAAGUUAUUUUAUGUGUAUAGGUGUUUUGCCUCUGUGAGCGCCUGCAUAUCCCAUGCAUGCCUAGGACCUGUAGCUGAGAAGAUGGUAUCAGAUCCCCUGGAACUGAGUUAUAGAUGGUUGUGAGCCCCCAGUGUGAGUGCUGGGAACUGAACCUUGGCCCUCUGUAAGAGCAGCCGGUGCUCUUAACAGUUGAGACAUCGCUGCAGGCCCGACGCUGGGUAUUCCUAAGAGCACGAUGUGGUUAUGCCAUUAUUAAUUACAGCCAGAUAGUGGUCAGAUCUGAGUGAGCGGUCAUCCUGAGUCACUCAUCUCUGCACAGUGACUGUGAUAUCUGACCACAGUAACUGGGAGAAUCGUACCAGCCCGUUCCCAUACUGUUGCUCAGAGUGACUGUGUGACGCAAUCCCUCCCAAGCCCGGGGAAGGGACCGGCCUGAGGUCCUGAGGUGAGUUGGCAACUGGGUAUUAAAACAAGCCCUGACCCUAACCUGAUGUGGUGAGGUGAGAGCUAGGGCAGGGCUGGCCGAGUUAGGGCUCUGCUGCUGAAUGGAUGGAACCAAGUGGAGGAGGAGGUAGGGCUCAAGGACGAUGGAGGGAAGGCGAGAAGCAGGGGUAUCUUACCAGGCCCUGGCCUUUCUAGACCCAGGGUUUCGGGCCACUUACUUACUGCCCCUGGAUGACAUUUAGUGGCCUGGACCAGAGUUCUCUUAAGGGGGCACAGAGCACUUCUGCUCCAUUUUAGCCUUAGAAGUGCUGCUUAUUAGCUGCGACUGGGGGAGGUUUAGUGGCUCAUCCUUCUGAUCCAGAAUUUUGGAAGGUGCUGAGGAAGGAAUCAAAAAUAACAGCAAGCACGCCUUUUCUUUCUCUCUGCGUUAAAAACGUGGACUGUGCCAGGCUUGUGGAGCAAGCACGUGGCCCAGAGUAAUGAACGCCUGCCUGUGCCAGUGGAGUCCGGCACAAGAUGUGUGUGGGGGUGGGGUGGGGUGGGGGUAGGCACAGCAUGGCUUCCCUCCUCCCUUCUCCUCUUCCUCUUCCUCCUUCCUUCUUUUCCUCCCCCUCCUCCUCUCCCUCCUGCUGUCCCCUCCACCUCAGCAUUUGGUUUUGCCAUUGUCUAAAGCUCAUCUUCCUUCUUCCCUUGCUCUAAAGAAUGUACUGGAAGUCUAGGGACAGCCUGGAGCUCUGUGAACUCUUAAACUGUUGCACAGGCACAGCCCUGGCCUCUAAGCUCAUAGGAAUGCAGCGGAGGUGACAGGAACGGGAACAGGAUGAGAAAAGCUAGCUGCCUGCUCGGAGGAUGUCAGUGAGUUCUAAGGUGCCCAUUGUCUGCCUCAAUAGCUCUGUGGCAUCUCAUAGAAUGGUUUGCGUCUCCCCCUGCAGACACAUGCGUGGGGUGAGUGAAGGCACAGAAUAGUGAUUACUUAUAUCCUGGCUUACUGGAGAUUUGGUACAGCCUUGAUGACGAUGGGGCUAAGCUGGUAUCAUGCUGGACUUUGGAAAAUAUUAAGCUGAGUCCUUUGCCUCUUGUGCCUAGGCUUUGCAGUUAGCCCAGGGUCCCUCCUCCCUCUGGUCCAUUUUCCUACUCGGCACUGCAGCCAGGCCUGAGUAUCAGGGUGCUUUUGGCUGAAGCUACCCUGAAUCCCAGUGAAGAACAUCUGCAAUAUAGAACCUUCUUGUGUUCUCCAGCUGUGGAGGUUCAUGCCCCAGAUGGACUCAGGAACCCUCAUCUUUCCACCUUAACCUCUUCAGCUCACUAGUCUUCAGUCUUGUCCUCUUGUGGUUAGAACACAGAUGGACACAGCUGUUGAAACAUU
rnacentral:lncRNA from 1 species